UAGGUUGUGGCUCAGAGGUAGAGUGCUCACCUAGCAUGUGUGAGGUCCUGGGUUUGAUCCUCAGCACCAUAU
rnacentral:tRNA from 1 species